CCUACGGGUGGCAGCAGUGAGGAAUCUUGGUCAAUGGGCGCGAGCCUGAACCAGCCAAGUAGCGUGAAGGAUGAAUGCCCUACGGGUUGUAAACUUCUUUUAUAAAGGAAUAAAGUGAGGCACGUGUGCCUUCUUGUAUGUACUUUAUUAAUAAGGAUCGGCUAACUACGUGCCAGCAGCCGCGGUAAUACGGAGGCUCCGAGCGUUAUCCGGUUUUAUUGGGUGUAAAGGGAGCGUAGGUGGGUUGAUAAGUCAGAUGUGAAAGUUUGCGGCUCAACCGUAAAAUUGCAAUUGAUACUGGCAGACUUGAGUACAGAUGAGGUGGGCGGAAUUCGAGGUGUAGCGGUGGAAUGCGUAGAUA
rnacentral:rRNA from 1 species